UCGCGGACUCCAGAGACGGAGUUCUUCAGUUCGGCUGGACCGGAGACAGGUGCUGCAUGGCUGUCGUCAGCUCGUGUCGUGAGAUGUUGGGUUAAGUCCCGNAACGAGCGCAACCCCCGUCCUUAGUUGCUACCAUUUAGUUGAGCACUCUAAGGAGACUGCCGGUGAUAAGCCGCGAGGAAGGUGGGGAUGACGUCAAGUCCUCAUGGCCCUUACGGGCUGGGCUACACACGUGCUACAAUGGCGGUGACAAUGGGAAGCGAAGACGCAAGUCCUAGCAAAUCUCAAAAAGCCGUCUCAGUUCGGAUUGGGCUCUGCAACUCGAGCCCAUGAAGUUGGAAUCGCUAGUAAUCGUGGAUCAGCACGCCACGGUGAAUACGUUCCCGGGCCUUGUACACACCGCCCGUCACACCAUGGGAGUUGGUUUUACCUGAAGACGGUGCGCUAACCGCAAGGAGGCAGCCGGCCACGGUAGGGUCAGCGACUGGGGUGAAGUCGUAACAAGGUAAGCGUAGAUGA
rnacentral:rRNA from 1 species